GUCUAUAGAGGCUCUACCAUGACAGGAUACUUGUUUUUAGGCAUCCGCACGAGCGUUGGCUGGACUGAAUCAUCCCUCUCUAAGGGCUGCCACCUGCAAUCAGGAGUCACCACAUCUAUUACUUGAACAGGACCAGAUGAUGGAUGAAAACACAAAUUUCCAAUUUGGCAAGGUUGAUUCCAGGGCACAUACGUGGUCCAUUUCCAAAUCCAAGAAAACUAUAAGGUCUCAGUGGCUCCUGAAACACACACAAAAAAGUAAUAAGUACUUCAUUUGAUAAAUUGAAUCAGUGAAUGGCUACCUGCUUAGUUUGUGCGUUUGUAAAGCUUACAUCGAAUCUGGAAGGAUUGAACUUCUCUGGAUCGGGAAAGAUCUCAGGAUCAUGGUGGAUGGAUACAACAUCCAAGUUGACAGACCAACCUUUUUCGAUUUUAUAUCCUAAGAGUUUGGAGAAAUUCAGAAUGGUAUAUGAUUAGCUAUUCAUUACACACUCAUCACAAAUUACUGGUAGGAUUUAUACCAUCAAUAUCGAAGUCUUGUGCAGCUUUUCUUGAAUACCAUGGUAAAAUUGUUGCUCUUCUAAGAGUUUCACUGAUGACCUGUGAUUUCAUGAUGAGAAAACUUUAGUUGCACAGCCUUAAAACUGUGUUAAUAUCGCGAAUGAAUGCAUCAGUUCAACUGACUUUUGCAGUGUACGGCAUAUUGUUCACUUCUGACCAGGUAAGGUUCGAUCCGUCUUCCCUGCUGCUUUCAAUCUGCUGAUGUUCUUCCUGCAAAGCACCAAUUCUGAGUAUCUGUGACGUUUGAAUCAGAUUAUUAAGGUAUGAUUAUAUGAGUAUACAAAGAUAUUACUCUGAGACGUUCUAAUACUGCAGGGUUCUCUGCAAGAAACUUGAUAAGCCAUGUCAAAGCAGCUGUAGUGGUGUCAUGGCCUGCAACCAGCAGUGUCAAUAUGUUAUCCUUCAAUUGUUUGUCAGUAAGCUUAUUGUCAUCCUUGUCGUCGUCUGCCUCGGAGCCUUCUUUGCUAUGCUUCUUCAACAGGGAUCCUAGGAAAUCCUGCUGGAAGCCUUCUCCCUUUCUACGUUGGGCAAUCGCAGCAUCUAACAUCACAUACAUCCUAUCACGGGCCUGAUCAAGAUUUAAGGAUUGUGUCAGCAAAAUUUCUUAACGUUUUGCUCAAAAGAGAAAAUGAGGUGAUUCUUUGUACCUUGAUGCCUCGAUAAAAAGCAGUUCCUGGGAUCUUAAAUGGCAAAGAGGCGAAACAAGAAGAUAUUAUUUUGAAGUUGGACCGGAACUUUUCUUGUUCCUCGCCUGUAGGCUCCAAGCUCAUGAUCAUGUGGCCGAUCACCUUCAAUGUGAACUGCAGAAAGAUUACAGUAUUUCAGAAAGCAAUGCUGCAUAAUAAAUCAGAGAUGCACAUAUAUCAUAAUAUCAACCGUUGAAGCCUCUUCAAGAACUAGAACUUUUUGGUUGGACCAAUGAUCUAAGGUCUCCACGGCCAACGCAUUGAUGAAUGGGAAAUACUUUCUGAGAGCAUCCAUUGAGAGGGGCUCCCCUAUGAGUCGUCGUAGCCUCUUGUGCAUUUCUCCGCUCUGUGUAAGCAAGCUUGUAGGGCCAAGAACUUGCUUCCCUGUGUAGAAGAGAUUGAGGCUCACUAGCCCAUCUUUCCCUGUCAGUAGAAUCUUGCUCGCUUCUCUCCCCGUCAUGAACACGGUAUAUCUCCCCAACACAUAACUCUUGAACACCUUGCCGUACCUGGGUACAAUACAGUGAUCAAUAUUGACAUUAAAUUCUUCACAAUUGUUGUAAUCCAGCAGCUAGCAUUCAUUACCUUUUCUGUCUCUCUUGCAUGAAGCUGAAGAUGCCGGCCGGGCUUGAGAAGGUGGCGAGGAACGAGAAGCUCUCCCCGACAAUGGGCCAUCCCAAAGUCCCCGGGAUGUUGUCCAUUGCCUUGGGAGCACUGCGUUUUUGCAGCAAGAAAACUGAGAGAAGGAAAAUUAAGACGAGCGCUACUAUUGUCAACAUCUCUCUCUCUCUUUCUCUCUUUGAGCUGAGAGAAACACUUGGAUUACUUGGGAUUAUAUUGGCAACCCUUUGAUGUGUCAAAAUCGUUUGGUGAAUUACUAUGAUGAUAGCUGCAUUGUUUCCAUCUUCUUUGGUUUCAGUCUAGAGUGGCAUUGGAAGGUAGCAUCGUUGUUGAUGUGAAUGAAGUCAAAAACUCUACUAGGAAGGGAAUCAAAUGGGCUACGACAUUUAUGUAUAACUAGGUUGAAUUUUAUUUGACUAAUGAUGAAUUAGGUUGCAAUCUCAUUUGACAAUGAUGUUUAACUUGUUCUGCCGCCCACUGGCACUCAACUCAUUAUUCUAACAUGAUUUUUCUCAUCUUGUUGGAUGAAAAAUCCAAAGACAGGCUUUGCCAACAAUGACCCUCUCUUUUGAAUUAAUAAUAUCGCUUUUGUUUCA